UACGUAGGGACCAAGCGUUGUUCGGAUUUACUGGGCGUAAAGGGCGCGUAGGCGGCGUGACAAGUCACUUGUGAAAUCUCCGGGCUUAACUCGGAACGGUCAAGUGAUACUGUCGUGCUAGAGUACAGAAGGGGCAACUGGAAUUCUCGGUGUAGCGGUGAAAUGCGUAGAUAUCGAGAGAAACACCUGCGGCGAAGGCGGGUUGCUGGGCUGAUACUGACGCUGAGGCGCGAAAGCUAGGGGAGCGAACGGG
rnacentral:rRNA from 1 species